GGGUUGCAAAGAGUCGGACACGACUGAGUGACUGACACUCUCACUGAAUUUGUUUCCUCACCUUUAAAACUGGGACAAUAAUAAUUACCCAGUUCAUUCAGAAGUCACAAUGAUCAAAAGAUAAGAUGGUACUUUGCACACUAUUAGAUGCUGUAUAAAUGCAAGCAAUGAUUAAUAUCUCAGUGUACAAAUAUAGUAUGAUAUCUCCACAUGCAGCAAAAAUGUUAUUAUUCCCCAUGUGCACCACAUGCCUAUGCUCGAUUUCCAUAUUCUUUUCCCAAAAGUGAAAAUCGCUCAGUCAUAUCCAACUCUUUGCAACCCCAUGGACUUAUAUAUAUACAGCCCAUGGAAUUCUCCAGGCCAGAACACUAGAGUGGGUAGCCUUUCUCUUCUCCAGGAGAUCUUCCCAACCCAGGGAUCGAACCCAGGUGUCCCGCAUUGCAGGUGGAUUCUUUACCAGCUGAGCCACCAGGGAAGCCCGAGAAUCCUGGAGUGGGUAGCCUAUCCCUUCUCCGAUGGAUCUGCUGAACCCAGGAACCAAACUGGGGUCUCCUGAAUUGCUGGCGGAUUCUUUACCAACUGAGCUAUCAGGGAAGCCUAAUCAGAAAGAGAAAUUAAAAAUUUAGCAGAAGAGCACACUUCACUGUCUUUAAAAAAAUGUUCUUCUGACACUGAAACUAAAUAUUUAAAAGUCAGAGAAUCAUUAAAGUCACUUUACAUGCACUUCUCCUCCCAUUCAAGGGCUUCCCUGGUGGCUCAGAUGGUAAAGAAUCCACUUGCCAAUGCAGGAGACCCAGGUUUGAUCCCUGAGUCAGGAAGAUCCCCUGGAGGAGGGCAUGGCAUCCUGGAAAAUCCCCAUGGACAGAGGAGCCUGGGGGGCUGCAGUCUGUAGCGUUGCAAAGAGUUGGACACGACUGUGGCUGAAGAGCAACAACUCUUCCCUUUAAUUAGCCACAAUUUUCUGUGCAGAUGUGUGACUACAGAUGCCACCAAAUCCUGCAGAUUCCGCCAUCAGGCUGUCACCUCAAAAGCAAAACGGCACCUCUCUAGAAGCACAGCUCCACAACAUCCUGGAGGACUGGGGCAGCUCUCUGAAGAGGCAAAGCAAACCGAGAGAUGAUGUCACUCUUCAGCUGGUGGGAACUGAGGACUGUGUGCUCAAGGUUUCUCUUCAAAUACCUCUGCUCUUCCUAACCAAAAUGCUCCCUUGUCACAGAAACAGAAAGAAUUCUCUCAGUUGAUCAAGACCACCGCUGCACAGUAGGAAAUCCUAAAGCAGUUCUCUGAGCUUGAGGAAGCACAGCAUCCUAGCCUCAUCCAAGCCACAACCAUGCCCUCUGAGGCCCCAGGACAACAGGGCAUUGUCUUCGCAACGUCUCAGUGGCAGAAGGACGGGCUUGAUACAAUGACGCUUCAAAGCCCGUAUGCUCCCAACUGUCCCAUUAUGGAUUUGUCAUCGUUUUAAGGUGACAAAAAAAACUCUAAAAUGACGUUUACAGUCCACUGCUCCCUUCCUAUAGAAGAACUGAAUGGGGACUUCCCUGGGGGCCCAGAGGUUGAGACGUCACCUUCCAAUGCAGCGGCUGCGGGGCUGAUCCCUGGUCCAGGGGAACUGGGGUCCUGCAUGCCUCCUGGCCAAAAAGCCAGAAGAGAAACAACAGGGGCAAUACUGCAACAAAUUCAGUCAAGACUUUAAAAAUGGUCCACAUCAGGGCCUCCCUGGUGGUCCAGUGGUUAAGAAUCCGCCUUGCAAUGCAGGGAACCCCAGCUUGAUCCCUGGUCUGGGAAGCUCCCUCAUGACCGGGGCAACUAAGCCCCUGUGUCACAACUGCUGAAGUCCGAACACAAGCCUGCCCUCGGCAGCAAGGGAAGCCGCUGCGAUGAGAAACCCACACGCCACAACUAGAGAAAGUCCUUGUGUAGCAAAGAGCGCCCAGUGUGGCCAAAAAUAAAUCAAUAAAAAAUAAAUACACAAUUUUAAAAAACAGCCCACAUCAAAAGAAGAAGAAUGAAACAGACAUAGUUUCUAAACAUGCAGAUAUAUUCAAGGUCAAGCUACGGCUAGUCAAAAUCCUGCAAAACAGCUAAACAAAUCUCAUCAUUGGCUGGGAGGCUGGGAACAUUCGAGUCCUCACUAAAGGGAUGGAUGAAAAGCCUGUCCCAGCUGCAAGUGAUCAUAAGCGACUUGAUCAUCAGCUGCCCGCUACAGCUGUAUGCACCGCUCAGCUCACCCAAAGAGAUUCACGCUCUCGUGGUGCCAAAAUAAAUGUCUCUCGUCCAAAAAAAAAAAAAAAAAAUCGCCCAUUUGAAAAUAACUCUCUAAUCUGCAUCCUUUCAAUAGAACUGAAGUGCACUUCACCAACACAGAGGACGGGCAUCUUGAAUUAGCAGAGAACUAUUUUUAACACAUGAAGGAUAAGAUAUGAAAUUAGUUUCACGGGGAAUGAGAACCUCGGAGAUUAUUUACUUUGCCUUAAUUACUUUGACUCACCAUUAAUUUAGCUUUCCUAGGGUACUCAAUAUUUCACGCUAAGAUUUGGAGACCAAAGAGACGGGAGCACAAGUCUGGAGCUCCGGGUCGGGCGGAGGCGCGGAUGGUCGAAGCCCAGUCACAGUGUGUGCCGCUCGAGAACACGUUCAGGGGCCCAUUUCUGUUGUUUUUCCACCCCGGGACCAGGAGCUGUGCCCUGAAGGAUGCACAGAGCCAAACUUUAUUCAGCUUCUGUUCAACUCCUCGGCCAAUAACAUCACUAGUGCUCAUAGCUACUCAGGCGACUGCCAAAUAGGGCAAGCCUCGACUGCCUGGAGCCUAGGGGAAGUGAGCUGGGGCUGCACGCUUCAAGAAGUUGUUAAUGAUCGGUGCAGCUGGGCGAUGCAGUGAUUCCCAGGAAAGGAGACAGAGAAGCCAGCCUAGCAGACAGUCCACGAUGGCUGCAUGCGAGCAUCCGUGGGUCAGGAGGCGCUCAGCUCCCAGUAAAGCACUCACGAUGCCCGGGGGGCUGCUGUGUGCAGCUGGGCACUGACUGAAGUCCUGCAACGCACCCCCGGGGCCCAAAUCGCCUGCCCGCCGGCAGACGCCGCGGACAAGGGCUGCGCCCGGCAGCGGACAGCAAUGCACAGGUUCCCGGAUGCAGGAGGGGACUUGCUGGGAUCACUCAACCUGCUGGUGCUUCCCCCAUCCUCCUGCUCCACGUGGCCUUCAGCAGUUGGGGGGCUUGGGAGAGGGGUGCAGUGGGCAGAGACCCUGAGACCCACGAUCUUUCUGACCCACAAUCGAAAGGACUCUCCCUUACUCUCAAGGUAUUUUUCACUCCGACACAGCUGUGCUUUAUUUGGAAGUUGCCCUUUUGCUUCUUUCUCUUGAUGAGGAUAUUGUUUGACUUCACCGAGCUGUAGCCUUCGAGCGUGCUGAACCCAUAUCAACAACGGAGCAGCGAGGUUCACACGUCUCCAGAACUCUGCAACUUCUCUAUUGGUGAUAAAAUAGCUCUCAUGGAAAUAUGCUUCCACGAUAAACAUUUCUAAUUUAGCAAUAAUAAUUUAUAUUUCUGUAGCACAUGCAUAGCUUUGAAACAUGCUCACAUAUAUUAUGAAAGAGAAAGUGUGAAAGUGUUAGUCGCUCAAUUGUGUCCUGACUCUUAGUAACCCAACAGACUGUAGCCCACCAGGCUUCUCUGUCCAUGGGAUUCUCCAGGCAAGAAUACUGGAGUAGGGUGCCAUCGCCUUCCCUCCUGACCCAGGGAUCGAACCCGGAGCUCCUGCACUGCAGGCAGAUUCUUUACCAUCUGAGCCACCAGGGAAGCCUAUGCUUCAUCUUAGCUACUUUUCCCCACCUGGCCCCUUUCCACCAGGCUCCUGCUCAUGAAACUGCCACCAUGCAGUCAUGUCCCACAGGGAACUCUGUCCUCUUUGUCACUGCCGACGCAACAACAGUGGAUGUCACUGCAGCUUUCUGGGUCACACACCUCAUUUGUGCCAUUCGCACUUUCAGUCCCUUUUAUCAUUUACAAUUCUCCGGUGACUCUCCUCACUGCCAUAUCUUAAUUUUAAUACUAGACACUACAUUCAUUCCUUGGCAUCAUCAGAGAAAACAAAGCACAAUGCCAUUAAUCAUUUCCACUGGGCAGAAAAGGAGCCUCAAAACACAGUGUGGUGGAAGACAGGGUUCAAACUUCCUACCUCUUCCUCCUACCGGCUGUGACAGCGGACCAGGUGCUCAAUCUUCUGGAGCUUUGCUUUCCUCUGGUUACUGACAUAAGAAAAGGUUGCCAUGAGGAUUAAACUGGACGGCAUGUCAACUGUGCCUGCAAAUACACAAGAGACGCCAACUGCAAUCCUCCUGCUGGGUCCCCGCUCACGCAACUGUCAUUCACACCAGCAAAGGUGAUCCCGCAAGCAGCACCUCUGUGCCCUUGGGUCCCCAAAGCGUGUCUUCGCAGGAGCCUCGCCACUCACUUCCUCCAAAGGAUGACCACGGCACACGAGAUCCUAUCGUCCCAAAGAUCACUGGUUUCCAAGCUUUUUUCUACAAAAUUCAACUGCAAGACGUUCCAACGUACUACAGUUGAAACUGCAGGGUACACGCAUGAAUGGCCAUCCUCUCCUGGCGUUUCCAAUCCCAUCUGGCCUGUCUUCGUACCACCCUGAGACGGGAGUCGACAGCAACAAAGUGGAUGCAGAGCACGUGCUGAUGGCAAUUUGCAGGUGGCCACUCAGGGCACCCAAAGAGCCAUCCCUGAGCCGCCGCCCACCAAGCACGAGACUUGCAGCUGGCAGAAUCUGUCCUUUUUGCCUGCCUGGUGAAACAUUUUUACACCACAGAAGCUUUGAUUAAUCUUAAAUUCUGUCACAUCAAAUUUGUCUUGCUCAGAAAAAUUGUGACAUCUGAAAUUCUACUGUAAAUCCGAAGUCUCUGCUUAAUGAUUCAAAAACUUAAAAAAAAAAAAAAAAAAAGGCUCCCAACAGGCAGUUGAGGGAUUUCAACAUGUAACUGGCAAAAGGGUGGUUUUAGAGCUUGGAUGGUGGGUGGCUUACGGCUAUUAGAUGGAAAGUGGACAUACUUUUUGAUCCAGCAACUC
ensembl:lncRNA